rnacentral:rRNA from 1 species
AUCGAACGCUGGCGGCAGGCCUAACACAUGCAAGUCGAACGAGUGGCGGACGGGUGAGCAAUGUCUGGGAAACUGCCUGAUGGAGGGGGAUAACUACUGGAAACGGUAGCUAAUACUGCAUACCAUCAGAUGUGCCCAGAUGGGAUUAGCUAGUUGGUGGGGUAACGGCUCACCAAGGCGACGAUCCCUAGCUGGUCUGAGAGGCUGACCAGCCACACUGGAACUGAGACACGGUCCAGACUCCUACGGGAGGCAGCAGUGGGGAAUAUUGCGCAAUGGGCGAAAGCCUGAUGCAGCCAUGCCGCGUGUAUGAAGAAGGCCUUCGGGUUGUAAAGUACUGUCAGCGGGGAAGCGUUACCCGCAGAAGAAGCACCGGCUAACUCCGUGCCAGCAGCCGCGGUAAUUC